GGUUGUGGCUCAGUGGUAGAGCACUUGCCUCACACGCAUGGGGCAUUGGGUUCUAUCCUCAGGACCA
rnacentral:tRNA from 1 species